rnacentral:rRNA from 1 species
UACAGAGGGUGCAAGCGUUAAUCGGAAUUACUGGGCGUAAAGCGUGCGUAGACGGUUGCGUAAGUCAGAUGUGAAAGCCCCGGGCUCAACCUGGGAACUGCAUUUGAAACUGGCGGGCUUGAGUGUGGCAGAGGGGGGUGGAAUUCCGCGUGUAGCAGUGAAAUGCGUAGAGAUGCGGAGGAACACCGAUGGCGAAGGCAGCCCCUCGGCGCAACACUGACGCUCAGGCACGAAAGCGUGGGGAGCAAACAGG